rnacentral:rRNA from 1 species
ACAACUUUUAACAACGGAUCUCUUGGUUCUCGCAUCGAUGAAGAACGUAGCAAAGUGCGAUAACUAGUGUGAAUUGCAUAUUCAGUGAAUCAUCGAGUCUUUGAACGCAACUUGCGCUYUUUGGUAUUCCAAGGAGCACGCCUGUUUCAGUAUCA